rnacentral:rRNA from 1 species
UAGGGAAUCUUCGGCAAUGGACGAAAGUCUGACCGAGCAACGCCGCGUGAGUGAAGAAGGUUUUCGGAUCGUAAAACUCUGUUGGUAGCGAAGAACGUUGGUGAGAGUGGAAAGCUCAUCAAGUGACGGUAACUACCCAGAAAGGGACGGCUAACUACGUGCCAU